rnacentral:rRNA from 1 species
AAACGAUGGAUGCCCGCUGUUGGUACCUGGUAUCAGCGGCUAAGCGAAAGCAUUAAGCAUCCCACCUGGGGAGUACGCCGGCAACGGUGAAACUCAAAGGAAUUGACGGGGGCCCGCACAAGCGGAGGAACAUGUGGUUUAAUUCGAUGAUACGCGAGGAACCUUACCCGGGCUUGAAUUGCAGAGGAAGGAUUUAGAGAUAAUGACGCCCUUCGGGGUCUCUGUGAAGGUGCUGCAUGGCUGUCGUCAG